rnacentral:rRNA from 1 species
UGAGGAAUAUUGGUCAAUGGGCGGAAGCCUGAACCAGCCAUCCCGCGUGCAGGGAGACGGCCCUAUGGGUUGUAAACUGCUUUUCCAGGGGGAGAAACUUUCCGAUGAAUCGGGAUUUGACGGUACCCUGGGAAUAAGCAUCGGCUAACUCCGUGCCAGCAGCCGCGGUAAUACGGAGGAUGCGAGCGUUAUCCGGAUUCAUUGGGUUUAAAGGGUGCGUAGGCGGAUCGAUAAGUCAGUGGUGAAAACCUGCAGCUUAACUGUAGACUUGCCGUUGAUACUGUCGGUCUUGAGUAUGGUCAAGGUAGGCGGAAUGUGUAAUGUAGCGGUGAAAUGCUUAGAUAUUACACAGAACACCGAUUGCGAAGGCAGCUUACUGGACCACCACUGACGCUGAUGCACGAAAGCGUGGGGAUCGAACAG